GUGGGGCCAGCACAGGGUCGGUGAUGUAGGUCUUCUUCGUGCCGGUUGGCUGGUAGAGCCCAGGAGGACCCUGACCCACGGUGUUACUAGCAGGAUACGCUGGCUCAGCCUUCCAGGAGCUCUGUGGCAUGGUCAUUUAUCCCAUUCUAAUAUUGAAACCUAAAAUAGGGAAGAUGAAUCAUCCACUGGAGGAAUCUACUUCACUCCACUGACUGUAAAAGAAGCAUAAAAACAGCCAAGAGAAGUCAUUGAAUAUUUAGACAGCACAAGUUAGUGGAGACAAAUUCCACAAUAAGCAGCUUACAGCUGACAAAUGUACGUCACAGAGGCAUGGGCUACGCAUGGAUCAGCAGUCAUACUCAUACUUCCCAGACGUGUUUAUAUGGCAUUCAGCUUGCUGGCUUGAUCACCAGAAGCUAUCAAGGUAUUCAAAUGGAUUGCUCCUAAGCAUUAUACCAAAAGAAGAGAAGAAAUCUAAUAAAGUGUUCAUCUCUGGCUCUCA